UUGGCCUCUGGCCACUUGCGGAUCGUCUGGCGAGGGAGGACCCGCCCGCGGGGGGCACGGGCACGGAUGAGGAAAGUGUCAAACAAGCCCUCUCUGUCCCCGCAGGCGGGUGGGUGCGCGGCCCCGCCCAGCGCUGGUUGCUAGGGACGCCCGGCGGUCGCUGGGGCGGGACCGCCGGCCGAGCUGAGUCUCUGGGCUGGCGGCUGCGGAGGGCGGGUUAGGGUUAGGGUUAGGGCGGCGGCGGCACCAUGAAGUCGGCCAAGAAGGACUCCCGCGUCCGAGUCCCCGGCAGGUUCUUGGAGGCCGCCGAGAACUUCAAAGGUUGGCGCCGGCUUCCUUAGACCGGAAGCAGGCAAAGAUACCUGAGCAGCCCACCCCCCAUUCAGCAGGAGCCUGAGCCCAUCAGCAGCGUGCUCCAGGGAGGCGACAUUCUUGCCUUGGCCAUAAAGAAGAGGACUUGAAGAAAG
rnacentral:lncRNA from 1 species